UACGGAAGGCAGCAGUGGGGAAUAUUGCACAAUGGGCGCAAGCCUGAUGCAGCCAUGCCGCGUGUAUGAAGAAAGCCUUCGGGUUGUAAAGUACUUUCAGUCGUGAGGAAGGUGUUAAGGUUAAUAACCUUAGCAAUUGACGUUAGCGACAGAAGAAGCACCGGCUAACUCCGUGCCAGCAGCCGCGGUAAUACGGAGGGUGCGAGCGUUAAUCGGAAUUACUGGGCGUAAAGGGCACGCAGGCGGUUAAUUAAGUUGGAUGUGAAAUCCCCGGGCUUAACCUGGGAAUGGCAUUCAAGACUGGUUAGCUAGAGUCUUGUAGAGGGGGUAGAAUUCCAUGUGUAGCGGUGAAAUGCGUAGAGAUGUGGAGGAAUACCGGUGGCGAAGGCGGCCCCUGGACAAAGACUGACGCUCAUGUGCGAAAGCGUGGGGAGCAAACAGGGAUUAGAUACC
rnacentral:rRNA from 1 species